AGCGAACGCUGGCGGCAGGCUUAACACAUGCAAGUCGAACGGAUCCUUCGGGAUUAGUGGCGGACGGGUGAGUAACACGUGGGAACGUGCCUUUUGGUUCGGAACAACACAGGGAAACUUGUGCUAAUACCGAAUGUGCCCUUCGGGGGAAAGAUUUAUCGCCAUUAGAGCGGCCCGCGUCUGAUUAGCUAGUUGGUGAGGUAAAGGCUCACCAAGGCUACGAUCAGUAGCUGGUCUGAGAGGAUGAUCAGCCAUACUGGGACUGAGACACGGCCCAGACUCCUACGGGAGGCAGCAGUGGGGAAUCUUGCGCAAUGGGGGAAACCCUGACGCAGCCAUGCCGCGUGAAUGAUGAAGGCCUUAGGGUUGUAAAGCUCUUUUACCCGGGAUGAUAAUGACAGUACCGGGAGAAUAAGCCCCCGGCUAACUCCGUGCCAGCAGCCGCGGUAAU
rnacentral:rRNA from 1 species